rnacentral:lncRNA from 1 species
UCUUCUGCUCUCCCAUUGGGGGUCCCCCCGAUCAGAGGGGGCUGUCCCACCUCGCUGUCCCCUCACUGUCCCUUCUGUCCCCUCCCAGCGGAACCGGAAGCGCCGCAACCGCAAGAAGAAGAAGCGGGGGAGGGGCGGGGCCCGGGAGGGGACCCCAACCCCGACCCCCGCCCGGGGGGACCCCGAGCCCCCCGCCGGGGACGCCCCCGAGGUGGAGAUCGAAUAUGUGAGCGAGGAGCCUGAGAUCUACGACCCCAACUUCGUCUUCUUCAAGAGGAUCUUUGAGGCCUUCAAGGUGACACUUCGAGGGGGGUGGUGGCACCUUUGGGUGCCAGGGGUCACCCCUGGGUGGUGAGGGUCAGUGUUGGGUGCCAGGGGUCAUUCUUGGGUGCCAGGGGUCACUUCUGGGUCACCCCUGGGUGCCAGGGGUCACCCCUGGGUGGUGAGGUCACUCCUGGGUGUCAGGGGUCACUUCUAGGUCACUCCUGGUUCGUGAGGGUCACUCCUGGGUGAUGAAGGUCACUCCAGUGUCACCCUUGGGUGCUGCUGAGCCAUGUCUCCUGAUCCCUGUCUCCUUUCCCUGACCCUGUCCUCAUGUCCCUGUCCCCUGGCUACCCUAUCCCUGUCCCCUGUCCUUGUCCCCUGCCCCCUCUCCUUGACCCUGUCCCUGUCCUUGUCCCUUGUCUCCUGUUCUUGUCCUCCUCUCCCUGUCCCCAUCCCCUGUUUCCAUCCCCUGUUCCCCAUCUUUGCCUCCUGUCCCUGUCCUUGUCCCCUGGCUACCCCUGUCAUUGUCCCCGUCCCCUGUCCCCUGUCCCUGUCCCCAUCCCCACGGCAGCUGACGGACGAGGUGAAGAAGGACAAGGAGAAGGAGCCGGAGCGAGCGGAGCGAGCCGAGAGCGCCGGGGUGCCCCGGAAAAAGGGACCCGAGGAUGGCACCAGGGGCAGCGAGGGGGACAGCUCCGAGGACGAGCAGGAGAAGAAGCAGGAGGUCCCCAAGCUGUCCAAGAAGAAGCUGCGGCGCAUGAACAGGUUCACGGUGGCCGAGCUGAAG